rfam:Schistosoma rodhaini strain Burundi genome assembly, scaffold: SROB_scaffold0001908
AUCGCUUCUUGGCUCUCUGGGGUAAGAUCAUGUAUAGUAUCAGUUCUUUGCAGUGUAAUUCCUUCAAAGGUCUUUAAACUGAGAUCAAUGAAAUUACCUGUAUUUUUCACCUUCGGAUGGGUGCUAUGAGCUUGCUCAAUACCGUCCAUAGGUCGGCCUCGUAUUGCAUCGCAUAACUGUAAGGUGAUAAUUGAAUUUGA